rnacentral:rRNA from 1 species
UACGGAGGGUGCGAGCGUUGUCCGGAAUCACUGGGCGUAAAGGGCGCGUAGGUGGCGCGGGAAGUCAACGGUGAAAGUUCGGGGCUCAACCCUGAAUCGGCCGUCGAUACUCCCGGGCUCGAGCACUGUAGAGGCAGAUGGAAUUCCGGGUGUAGCGGUGGAAUGCGUAGAGAUCCGGAAGAACACCGGUGGCGAAGGCGGUCUGCUGGGCAGUAGCUGACACUGAGGCGCGACAGCGUGGGGAGCAAACAGG